GUGAAGAAGUAUUUCGGUAUGUAAAGCUCUAUCAGCAGGGAAGAAAAAUGACGGUACCUGACUAAGAAGCACCGGCUAAAUACGUGCCAGCAGCCGCGGUAAUACGUAUGGUGCAAGCGUUAUCCGGAUUUACUGGGUGUAAAGGGAGCGUAGGCGGUUUUACAAGUCUGAUGUGAAAGCCCGGGGCUCAACUCCGGUAUUGCAUUGGAAACUGUAGAACUAGAGUGUCGGAGGGGUAAGUGGAAUUCCUAGUGUAGCGGUGAAAUGCGUAGAUAUUAGGAGGAACACCAGUGGCGAAGGCGGCUUACUGGACGAUUACUGACGCUGAGGCUCGAAAGCGUGGGGAGCAAACAGGAUUAGAUACCCUGGUAGUCCACGCGGUAAACGAUGAAUACUAGGUGUUGG
rnacentral:rRNA from 1 species